CUGCCCGGUGGCCCAAGCAUCCAGCCCUACGUUCCGUGCGCUCCAGGGCAACGGCCAGCGCCUUUCAACCCAGCAGCAGCACCCAACUUCCAGCGCGCCGUGGGCGGUCCUGCGCCAACGAAUGCUGUUGGGACGCGCGGCUUGGUGGAGCAGGUUGCCAAAG
rnacentral:SRP_RNA from 1 species